rnacentral:rRNA from 1 species
CCAUGGUUUUUUCUUGGAACAGGGGACACGUCGCCAGCUGGAAGACGUGGAGUGGGAUCGUGCACUGUCAGACGUGCCGAUUGAACGACUGAGCCGAGAGUUUUUAAAGGCACUUGCUGCUCCCUAUCCUGAACGUUUUUUGAAAGAGAUGCUGGACUGCUCGCUAGGGCGGGAAUUUCUGCCGGAAUGGUUCGUUAUGCAGGGGAUCCCGGCUGGACCACCGGAAAAACAUCCUGAGGGCUCACUGGCAAACCAUGUGCUGUUGGUACUCGAGCAGCUCGCCACCCUAACAGAUGAUCCUCUGGCGCGUUUUUGUGCCUUUGGACAUGAUUUGGGCAAGUGUUGUACUGACCCGGUCAGUUAUCCCCGUCAUAUUGGCCACGAUCUCGCUGGGGUAGCUUUGGCGCGGGUUCUUUGUGAUCGACUGAAGCUACCGGUAACCUAUCGUGAAGCAUUGAUGGGGGUCUGUCGCUGGCAUACGCUGAUGAACCGCUGGGAUGAACUUCGGGAUGAAACCCGGCUUAAAGUUGCCUAUGCAGCCAAACGGGGGGGAUUCUAUCACCUGUUGCCACUGGUCUCCCAGGCUGAUACCGGCCGUCAGGCCGAUAUGCGGAGUUGGGAUGCGGCCGGGCGGGCAGUCAGUGCCAGUGCAGAAAUGCUUGGGGUUAGUGAGGAACAACUGAUGGCCUGUCCACCGGACAAACGUGGCGGGCUGCUUAUGAAGGCCCGGACGUCUUGGUUUCGGGACUAUCUACACGGAGGAUCUGACUGAUGACUGACACGAAUUAUCCUGAAAAGCGAGAGCGGUUGAUGCCCUCGGCCUCGAAGACGAGGCUCUGGUUGGGCGUGGGCUUCCACUGGAAGGUGACGUUGGCGUAGCCCUCGCGGAGGAAUUCGAACUGCUGGUCGCCGCCGGCGUCGAGGUAGGCGACGUUGGCGAGGACGGCGAAUUUCUUGGUAGGGGAGCAUUCUAACAGGGUUGAAGGUUUAGCGUGAGCUAUGCUGGACUGGUUAGAAAAGCAAAUGUAGGCAUAAGUAACGAUAAUGCGGGCGAGAAACCCGCACACCGAAAAACUAAGGUUUCCUCAGCUAUGCUAAUCAGCUGAGGGUUAGUCGGGUCCUAAGGCAUAUCCGAAAGGAGCAGUCGAUGGCCAACGGGUUAAUAUUCCCGUACUACUGUUAAUUGUGAUGGGGUGACGGAGUGAUGAAAGUACCGCGAACUGACGGAAUAGUUCGUUAAAGCACCUAGCUAUAGGCUCUAUAGGCAAAUCCGUAGAGUUUGGUGAAAUGCGAUAGUACACGGAGGCUUCGGCCAAAGUGAUAGUGUACCUAAGGGCUUCCAAGAAAAACCUCUAAACUUAGAUUAACAGUACCCGUACCGUAAACCGACACAGGUAGUUGAGGAGAGAAUCCUAAGGUGCUCGAGAGAUUCAUGGCUAAGGAAUUAGGCAAAAUAGACCUGUAACUUCGGGAGAAAGGUCGCCAGCGCAAGCUGGCCGCAGUGAAGAGGUCCAGGCGACUGUUUAUCAAAAACACAGGGCUCUGCAAAAUCGUAAGAUGAAGUAUAGGGCCUGACACCUGCCCGGUGCUGGAAGGUUAAGAGGAGAUGUUAUCUUCGGAGAAGCAUUGAAUUGAAGCCCCAGUAAACGGCGGCCGUAACUAUAACGGUCCUAAGGUAGCGAAAUUCCUUGUCGGGUAAGUUCCGACCUGCACGAAUGGUGUAACGAUCUGGACACUGUCUCAGCCAUGAGCUCGGUGAAAUUGUAGUAUCGGUGAAGAUGCCGAUUACCCGCAGUGGGACGAAAAGACCCUGUGCACCUUUACUAUAGCUUAGUAUUGGUCUUGGAUAAGUGAUGUGUAGGAUAGGUGGGAGACUGUGAAAUGGCGUCGCCAGGCGUUGUGGAGUCAUUGUUGAAAUACCACCCUUUGCUUAUCUGAGGUCUAACCCCGCGAAUGUGGGGGACAUUGCUUGGUGGGUAGUUUGACUGGGGUGGUCGCCUCCAAAAGAGUAACGGAGGCUUCUAAAGGUUCCCUCAGCACGCUUGGUAACCGUGCGUAGAGUGCAAUGGCAUAAGGGAGCUUGACUGAGAGACAUACAGGUCGAUCAGGUACGAAAGUAGAGCAUAGUGAUCCGGUGGUUCCGCAUGGAAGGGCCAUCGCUCAAAGGAUAAAAGGUACGCCGGGGAUAACAGGCUGAUCUCCCCCAAGAGCUCAUAUCGACGGGGGGGUUUGGCACCUCGAUGUCGGCUCGUCACAUCCUGGGGCUGGAGAAGGUCCCAAGGGUUGGGCUGUUCGCCCAUUAAAGUGGCACGCGAGCUGGGUUCAGAACGUCGUGAGACAGUUCGGUCUCUAUCUACUGUGGGCGCAAGAAAUUUGAGUGGAUCUGAUUCUAGUACGAGAGGACCGAAUUGGACAAACCUCUGGUGUAUCUGUUGUUCCGCCAGGAGCACCGCAGAGUAGCUACGUUUGGAAGGGAUAAGCGCUGAAAGCAUAUAAGCGCGAAACCCACCACAAGAUGAGAUUUCUUUU